GAACCGGUCUUGCGCAAUGGGUACCUGCGAACCAUGUCAGGCGGGGAACCGAGCAGCAUUAAGCGGGACCAUCCAUGUGCCGCAAGGACGCCGGUUCCGC
rfam:Firmicutes bacterium CAG:129_59_24 Ley3_66761_scaffold_2067, whole genome shotgun sequence.